GAAAAUGUCAUUCUCAAAAUUAACCUCAAAUGUCAAAUAUGAGGCAGGAGCAAGGAGGGGUGGGACUAAGGAGAACAGUAUCAAUCAAAAUGUAGAGUGGAUACAGAUGGGACCAUAAUAGCUAUGUUAAGCUUGAAUGGAUAAUAGUGUAGCUUGACAAAGUGCUAUCACUUUUACUGAAUCGAACUACCAAUUUCCAAAUCGACACUCUCCAAGAUUCCUGUAAAUACUUCACAUGUCUCUAUAACUAAUAUCAC
rnacentral:misc_RNA from 1 species